GACGUAGGAGGCGAGCGUUGUCCGGAUUUAUUGGGCGUAAAGAGCGUGUAGGCGGCCAGGUAGGUCUGCUGUGAAAACUCGAGGCUUAACCUCGAGCUGUCGGCGGAAACCAUCUGGCUAGAGUCCGGAAGAGGAGAAUGGAAUUCCCGGUGUAGCGGUGAAAUGCGCAGAUAUCGGGAAGAACACCCGUGGCGAAGGCGGUUCUCUGGGACGGUACUGACGCUGAGACGCGAAAGCGUGGGGAGCGAACAGG
rnacentral:rRNA from 1 species